UUUCCGUAGGUGAACCUGCGGAAGGAUCAUUAAAAAUGAAGCCGGGAAACCGGUCCUUCUCACCCUUGAUUAUCUCAAUUUGUUGCUUUGGUGGGCCGCGCAAGCACCGGCUUCGGCUGGAUCGUGCCCGCCAGAGGACCACAACUCUGUAUUAUAUGUCGUCUGAGUACUAUAAAAUAGUUAAAACUUUCAACAACGGAUCCCUUGGUUCUG
rnacentral:misc_RNA from 1 species